rfam:Methylocystis bryophila strain S285 plasmid p1, complete sequence.
CCAGUCCGGCCCAAGUAAGCCGCAGCUGGCGCUCGAUAGCGAGUGUUGCGUGGUCGUCGGCGACCGCCGCGCAGCGUACACUGCAAUCGCGUAGGGCGCGACAUUGAGCCUCGAAAUUCCCGACAUCACAGAGAU